rnacentral:rRNA from 1 species
UAAUAGCGUAUAUUAAUGUUGUUGCAGUUAAAAAGCUCGUAGUUGGAUUUUGGAGUUUGACAAGUGGUCUGCCUAAGGUGUGUACUGCUUGUCGGCUCUUCUUUUCUGGGGACCACGCUGCUCUUUAUUGAGGGGUGCUGGGAAUCAGAUCUUUUACUUUGAAAAAUUAGAGUGUUCAAAGCAGGCCCACGCAUUGAAUACAUUAGCAUGGAAUAAUGGAAUAGGACUUUGGUCUUAUUUUGUUGGUUUCUAAGGCCGAGGUAAUGAUUAAUAGGGAUAGUUGGGGGCGUUUAUAUUCCAUUGUCAGAGGUGAAAUUCUCAGACCAAUGGAAGACGAACCACUGCGAAAGCAUUUGCCAGGGAUGUUUUCACUGAUCAAGAACGAAAGUUAGGGGAUCGAAGACGAUCAGAUACCAU